rnacentral:rRNA from 1 species
UUACAACAGAUAUAAUCUACUUGUUCUAUUCCCAUUAAACGGAUAACUGCGGUAAUUCUGGAGCCAAUACGUGUUAAAAGCCAAAUUCAGCAAUGAGUUUGGUGCACUUAUCGGAGCAAAAUCAAUCUUGAUACAUGCUAACUCUAGAUAACCAAGCUUAUCGCAUGACCUUGUGUCGGCGAAAUUACAUUCGAGUAUCUGCCUUAUCAACUAUCGUUGGUAGUGUAUUGGACUACCAUGGUGUUGACGGGUAACGGAGAAUCAGGGUUCGACUCCGGAGAGGGAGCCUUAGAAACGGCUACCAUGUCUAAGGACAGCAGCAGGCGCGCAACUUAUCCACUGUUCAUUGAACGAGAUAGUGACGAGAAAUAACAAGCCCGUUCUCUUUGAGGUCGGGCAUUGGAAUGGAUGAAAUCUAAACAAUUUCAUGAGUACCCACGAGAGGGCAAGUCUGGUGCCAGCAGCCGCGGUAAUUCCAGCUCUCGUAAUGUAUAGAAUUAUUGUUGCGGUUAAAAAGUUCGUAGUUGGAUUCUGUACCAGUUGUGGGUAGUGCUUAACGGCUCUCACUCACACUGGUUUUUGCACAAUGAGGGCUUGCUCUCACUGUGUAGAUUACUUUGAACGGCUUAAGUGCUCAAGGCGAGUCUUCGGACUGAAUACCGGUGCAUGGAAUAAUGGAACAAGGUUUCGGCCGAGUUUUAUUGGUUUUGUCGGCUAAAACAAUGGUUAAAAGGAACAGCUGGGGGCACUCGUAUUGCUGCGCGAGAGGUGAAAUUCGUGGAC